ACACACCAGCACGCACGUUCAUUCCGACCGGUCGCCGUAUAGUCACCGACGCCGCCACUGCCGAGUUUCCGACGCCGUCGUUUUUUGGAAAUAUUGUGUUGUCGUAUACGAUUUGUCCGUUUUCCGACGAGUUUCCCAGUGCCUUUUCCGCCGUACACUAUAUAAUAUUAUUGUCAUCGUCGGAUUCUUACCGAUCGAGAGGCGAAUCCUCUUCCCAAUCUGUUGCUUGCCCGUAUUCAUAAUUAUACGAAUCAUCAUUAAUAAUUAAAAAAUAUUAAUUAUAUGGUAUAAUAAUAAUAUAUUGGUGCGUUCGUGUUUGUGCUUAUCUGUGUGUGUGUGUGUGUGUGUGUUUCUGUGGGUUCGCGUCGCCGUUAAGUUUUUUGAAAAGCUAUGCCGAGUGCCGGAAACAUCUCCGCGUGCACCGUGACAGGAUUACGCUGGUAAUAUCGUCCAGGGAAGUGAUAUCACGACGCACACUACAGGCGCAUUGACUUGGCCGUGGAUCGUUACACCAGUAGAACAGAUGACUAUGGCGUCGUCAGAGGUCUAACAAGGAGUAUGGGAAGAGAGGCAUGGGCCUACGGCUGGACCAGAGACUAUUUAGCAAAGUCACGGUAGUCUUCGCAGCUCUCGUUCUCUCGCUGUUCAACAGGGUCCUAGUCUCAACUACCGGGUCGACGUUCAACGAUGCUGUACACAUCACGGCCAUCGUGGGCGAAUCAGUCGUGUUCAACUGCCAAGUGGAGUUCCCAGCCGAACACCCCGUGCCUUACGUUUUACAGUGGGAGAAAAAAGGUCUCGACAUACCGAUAUUCAUUUGGUAUGACAACUAUCCCACACACAGCGGUUCGGGAUACGAAGGCCGAGUGGCUAGAGUCUCCCAGGACUCGCCAUACGGUCUCGCUUCGCUCAACUUGACCAAUAUACAAGAGUCGGACCAAGGUUGGUACGCCUGCAAAGUGGUGUUUCUCAACCGGUCACCAACCAAUAAAAACGGCACGUGGUUUCAUCUAGACGUCCACGCUCCUCCGAAAUUCGUCACCAUCCCCGGUGAAGUACAAUACAUAAAUGUCGGAGAUUCCAUUAUUCUAAACUGUCAGGCUGUGGGGACACCUACGCCCGAAAUCGUGUGGUUCAAAGACGCCACAGACGUGCAGCCGACGACCACUGUAGGCAUAUUCAAUGAUGGCACUGAACUGAGGAUAUCUAACAUCCGAACUGAGGACAUCGGGGAUUACACGUGCAUCGCCAGAAAUGGCGAAGGACAAAUUAGCCACACGGCUAGGGUUUUGAUAGCGGGAGGAGCUGUAAUCAUGUCACCGCCAACAAACCAGACGAAACUGGAAGGCGAAAAAGUCGAAUUCACGUGCGGUGCCAAAGCCAUGCCCGGUAAUGUCACUGUCCGGUGGUCUCGUGACGGAGCUUUUGUGAAGUCGAUUGCAUCGCUGGAAACCAGAGUGACCAUCAAAAAAGAUGGUUCUAUGGUUAUAAAUCCCGUCAGCGCUGAUGACUCGGGCCAAUAUCUCUGCGAAGUCAGCAACGGCAUUGGCGACCCACAAUCCGCCUCUGCCUAUUUAAACGUCGAAUAUCCAGCCAAAGUUACAUUCACGCCGACCGUACAGUAUUUACCGUUCAGAUUAGCUGGCGUUGUUCAAUGUUACAUUAAAGCCAACCCGCCUUUGCAAUACGUCACAUGGACCAAAGACAAACGUUUACUCGAGCCUUAUCAGCAGAAAGAUAUCGUUAUCAUGAACAACGGUUCGCUGUUAUUUACCAGGGUCAAUCAAAACCACCAGGGAAGAUACACGUGUACACCCUACAACGCACAGGGUACUCAAGGAUCAUCCGGGCAAAUGGAAGUGUUGGUGAGGAAACCUCCAACAUUCACCGUUGAACCAGAGAACAUGUACCAGCGCAAAAUCAGCGAAUCGGUAGAGAUGCAUUGCGACGCACAAGAGGCCGAAGGCACCCAAAAGCCCAAGAUUCAAUGGCAAAGAAGAGAUGGGGCUCCGUUGCCCAAAGGUCGUCACAGCAUACACGGUGGUAAUAUCACAAUAGAAAACCUCAGAAAAACCGAUUUUGGAUAUUAUCACUGUGUCGCGAGUAACGAAGUGGCCACAAUAGUUACAACCACUCAUUUGGUCGUCGAGGGCACUCAGCCACAUGCCCCUUACAACGUUUCGGCAAACGCUUCCGAGACGACCGUUACACUUCAGUGGCUACCCGGUUACAGCGGCGGUCCCGAUUACAAACAAGACUAUACGAUUUGGUACAAGGAACCAGGGAUGGCGGACUGGUCUACAAUACCUGUCACUCCGUCGGGGAGCACGCAAGUCACCAUAAACAGACUAACUCCGGACACGACGUACGAGUUUCAAGUGGUAGGGAAGAACGCGUUGGGCGACGGAAUGCUUAGCAAAGUUAUUUCGAUCAAGACACUGGCAGCCGUACCAUUAACCGUGGCCAAAAAAACAAGUCCCGCGCCACCGGUCACCGAGUUACCUCCUCCCCCAAGCGACGACGUUGUCGACUAUAGCGACCUCAUUUUACCCACUGAAUCUUCUGGUGCUACAUUGUACCCACCGGUAUUCAGACCAAAAGGACCAAAACCCGGACCACCGAGAAAUGUAUCCAUCGCCGAAGUCAAAAAUGGCUUCGUCAUAUCUUGGCAAGCUCCAUUAGAAAGAGCUCAUUUAGUCCGUUACUACGUCAUCAACUAUAAGACAGAUGGGAUUUGGAGAACUUUGAACAAAGCACAAAUCAGGGCAGAGGACACACGUUAUCUGGUAAAAAGUCUGGUGGGAGGUCGUACCUAUUAUUUCCGAGUGGUCGCGUACUCUUUGAAGAGUUUCGAAAACAGCGAAGAAAUCAAAUUCCCCGUACCGGCCAGGGUGAAACAUAAGGCCAUCACAGCGGGCGUCGUUGGCGGGCUGUUGUUCUUCAUCGUCGCCAUAAUAUUGUCCGUGUGCGCGGUGAAGAUUUGCAACAAGAGGAAACGGAGAAAACACGAAAAAGCUUACAACAUGGUCGCGUGUAGAAUUACGGACGCCAGAAAUGGUGGCCAAAUACCGGGGACUAGUCAAGUGCCUUUAAAAAAGCUCGCGGACGCUCGUACUUACCGAGACUAUAGACUCGAAUUGUCCUAGCCGAUAGCGAAAUCCGAUAACAGGUGAAGAGCUAGCAAGCUGUUGAGCCGCACAAAUUCAAAAUAAUAUUGAUCUAGAUCAACCCGAAUAUCAAGUCUGAGCAGCGGAUGCAACGUCGUUCUGAACAUGGUGGCGCGGCCGUCCCGUUCGAGUUCGU
rnacentral:misc_RNA from 1 species